rnacentral:rRNA from 1 species
UGCCCCAGUAACGGCGAGUGAAGCGGCAACAGCUCAAAUUUGAAAUCUGGCCCCCAGGGUCCGAGUUGUAAUUUGCAGAGGAUGCUUUUGGCAAGGUGCCUUCCGAGUUCCCUGGAACGGGACGCCAUAGAGGGUGAGAGCCCCGUCUGGUUGGAUACCGAGCCUCUGUAAAGCUCCUUCGACGAGUCGAGUAGUUUGGGAAUGCUGCUCUAAAUGGGAGGUAUAUGUCUUCUAAAGCUAAAUAUUGGCCAGAGACCGAUAGCGCACAAGUAGAGUGAUCGAAAGAUGAAAAGCACUUUGAAAAGAGGGUUAAAUAGUACGUGAAAUUGUUGAAAGGGAAGCGCUCAUGACCAGACUUGGGCCCGGUGAAUCAUCCAGCGCUCGUCGCUGGUGCACUUUGCCGGGCUCAGGCCAGCAUCAGUUCGCUCCGGGGGACAAAGGCUCUGGGAAUGUGGCUCCUCCGGGAGUGUUAUAGCCCACUGCGCAAUACCCUGGGGCGGACUGAGGUUCGCGCAUUCGUGCAAGGAUGCUGGCGUAAUGGUCAUCAGUGACCCGUCUUGAAACACGGACCAAGGAGUCGUCUUCGUAUGCAAGUGUUCGGGUGUAAAACCCCUACGCGUAAUGAAAGUGAACGCAGGUGAGAGCUUCGGCGCAUCAUCGACCGAUCCUGAUGUUCUCGGAUGGAUUUGAGUAAGAGCAUACGGGGCCGGACCCGAAAGAAGGUGAACUAUGCCUGUAUAGGGUG